AUGGCCAGCGACGAGGAGACCAGCCGGGUGGUUCGUGCACUCGUGGAGAAGCACCUCGAGUCCGUGGUGAGCCUGAGGGCCUUCAAGGAGCCCUCCGAACCACAGCUGGGAGACGAGGGGAACCAGGACAGCGACGAGGAGCUCAUGGGAGAGGAGGGGGAGGAGAAGAAGGAGGAGGGGGAGAGCAGCGCCCCCAAAAAAGAGGCCCUGACGCCGGUGUGCUAUGGCACAGGAAGCAUCAUCCACUCCUGCGACCGAUUCGCCCUGGUGUUCUCCGUCGCCCACACCUUCGCCCCGUUCCGUUCGAGGCAACCUGGGGCGCUGGUUGCCGAGGACACCACGCUCCUCGUCGAGUUCUCGGAUGGGCAGAUCCGUCCCGGCCAUUUUCGAGCCAUAGGGUGGAGCCAUGACAUGUCACUCAUCAUGGUGCUUACCAACACGAGGUACCGGCCAGUCAAAUUCAUCGACCACAGCUGCCCUGCCAUGGGGUUCUCCGCUCAUGAAAGGGAGGCGCGUGUGUACAGCAUCUGCACCUACCCCGCCGAGCGACGCAACGCCCUGAUGGGCACCGCGUUGUCCGGCAAGAUAUGUGGACCUCUGAGGCGUGGGCGAAACGUUGAUAAAGUGUUUGAGCCAGAGCUAAGGAUGUGCGAAUUUGUCAUGGGUGGAGCGAGCGGCUGCUCUGGUGCUCCUCUCUUCACGGCAACUCGCCAUGUCAUGGGGAUGUGGCUGUCUCAAGUGGGGGAGUGCAAGUUUGCAGUGCUUGUUCACUCCAUAUGUGAAUGGCUUCGCACGACCUACAGAUUUCAAGAGACAAGCAUGAAGCGUCUGGUACCCAGGUUGGCAUCGCUAUACUUAGAGCAUCUGAGGCGAGUCGAUCCACAGGAAUGA
rnacentral:rRNA from 1 species